GACGAACGUUGGCGGCGUGCUUAACACAUGCAAGUCGAACGGUAAGGCCCUUCGGGGUACACGAGUGGCGAACGGGUGAGUAACACGUGGGUGAUCUGCCCUGCACUUCGGGAUAAGCCUGGGAAACUGGGUCUAAUACCGGAUAGGACCCUGGGAUGCAUGUCCUGGGGUGGAAAGCUUUUGCGGUGUGGGGUGGGCCCGCGGCCUAUCAGCUUGUUGGUGGGGUGAUGGCCUACCAAGGCGACGACGGGUAGCCGGCCUGAGAGGGUGACCGGCCACACUGGGACUGAGAUACGGCUCAGACUCCUACGGGAGGCAGCAGUGGGGAAUAUUGCACAAUGGGCGCAAGCCUGAUGCAGCGACGCCGCGUGAGGGAUGACGGCCUUCGGGUUGUAAACCUCUUUCAGCACCGACGAAGCGCAAGUGACGGUAGGUGCAGAAGAAGGACCGGCCAACUACGUGCCAGCCGCCGCGGUAA
rnacentral:rRNA from 1 species